rnacentral:rRNA from 1 species
GAUGAACGCUGGCGGCGUGCUUAACACAUGCAAGUCGAACGAAGCACUUUAUUUGAUUUCCUUCGGGACUGAUUAUUUUGUGACUGAGUGGCGGACGGGUGAGUAACGCGUGGGUAACCUGCCUUGUACAGGGGGAUAACAGUUGGAAACGGCUGCUAAUACAGCAUAAGCGCACGGCAUCGCAUGAUGCAGUGUGAAAAAGUCCGGUGGUAUCAGAUGGACUCGCGUUGGAUCACAUAGUUGGUGAGGUAACGGCCCACCAAGGCGACGAUCCAUAGCCGACCUGAGAGGGUGACCGACCACAUUGGGACUGAGACACGGCCCAAACUCCUACGGGAGGCAGCAGUGGGGAAUAUUGCACAAUGGGCGAAAGCCUGAUGCAGCGACGCCGCGUGAGCGAAGAAGUAUUUCGGUAUGUAAAGCUCUAUCAGCAGGGAAGAUAAUGACGGUACCUGACGAAGAAGCACCGGCUAAAUACGUG